rnacentral:rRNA from 1 species
AGAGUUUGAUCCUGGCUCAGGAUGAACGCUGGCGGCGUGCUUAACACAUGCAAGUCGAGCGAGAAUCGCUCUGAUGACGCUUCGGUAGAUUCAGAGCGAGGAAAGCGGCGGACGGGUGAGUAACGCGUGGGAAACCUGCCCUUCACAGAGGGACAGCCGAGGGAAACUUCGAUUAAUACCUCAUAACGCAUCGAGGUCGCAUGGCCAUGAUGCCAAAGAUUUAUCGGUGAAGGAUGGUCCCGCGUCUGAUUAGCUAGUUGGUGAGGCAGCGGCUCACCAAGGCGACGAUCAGUAGCCGGCCUGAGAGGGUGAACGGCCACAUUGGAACUGAGACACGGUCCAGACUCCUACGGGAGGCAGCAGUGGGGAAUAUUGCACAAUGGGCGCAAGCCUGAUGCAGCAACGCCGCGUGAAGGAAGAAGGCCUUCGGGUCGUAAACUUCUGUCCAAAGGGAAGAACUCUGACGGUACCUUUGGAGGAAGCCCCGGCUAACUACGUGCCAGCAGCCGCGGUAAUACGUAGGGGGCAAGCGUUAUCCGGAAUUACUGGGCGUAAAGAGUACGUAGGUGGCCCUGUAAGCGUAGGGUUUAAGGCGACGGCCCAACCGUCGUUCGCCCUGUGAACUGCAGAGCUUGAGUGCUGGAGGGGAAGGCGGAAUUCCUAGUGUAGCGGUGAAAUGCGUAGAUAUUAGGAGGAACACCAGUGGCGAAGGCGGCSUUCUGGACAGUAACUGACACUGAGGUACGAAAGCGUGGGUAGCAAACAGGAUUAGAUACCCCGGUAGUCCUGGCCGUAAACGAUGAAUGCUAGGUGCGCGUGCAGAGAUGCAGGUGUGCCGCAGUUAACGCGAUAAGCAUUCCGCCUGGGGAGUACGGUCGCAAGAUUGAAACUCAAAGGAAUUGACGGGGGCCCGCACAAGCGGUGGAGCACGUGGUUUAAUUCGAUGCAAACCGAAGAACCUUACCUGGGUUUGACAUGCAAGUGUUAGGAGCUGGAAACAGCGACGAAUUUACCGCAAGGUAAAUAGCUUGCACAGGUGCUGCAUGGCUGUCGUCAGCUCGUGUCGUGAGAUGUUGGGUUAAGUCCCGCAACGAGCGCGAGCCCUGCGGCUAGUUGCCAUCAAUUCGGUUGGGCACUCUAGCAGGACUGCCAUCGACAAGAUGGAGGAAGGUGGGGACGACGUCAAGUCAUCAUGGCCCUUAUGUCCAGGGCGACACACGUGCUACAAUGGACGGUACAGAGGGAAGCGAGACAGCGAUGUUGAGCGGAUCCCGAAAAGCCGUUCUCAGUUCGGAUUGAAGUCUGCAAUUCGACUUCAUGAAGCUGGAAUCGCUAGUAAUCGCAGAUCAGCCAAGCUGCGGUGAAUCCGUUCCCGGGCCUUGUACACACCGCCCGUCACACCACCCGAGCCGGGUGUACCCGAAGCCGGUGGCCUAACCGCAAGGAAGGAGCCGUCGAAGGUGUGUCUGGUGAGGGGGGUGAAGUCGUAACAAGGUAACCGUA